CCGCCCAGGCCCGAGUGCUGCCGCCGCCACGACCAGCGCCCGCAGAGCGCUCGACCCCAAGCUCCUCCUCCCGUGCGCUUCCUCCCUGGCCUCCCUCGCGCGUCGCCAGCUCCUCGGCCUCCCUCGCGCGUCGUCCGGCGACCGGCGCCGCCGCCGGCGACCACCCAGGUCACGCCGCCGCUCCCCUGCCUUCUCUCUUUCCUCUAUCUCUCUCUCUCUAAUCUCCUUGUCUCUCCUUCUCUCCAGGAGCUCAGUGCCAGCGCCAUGGAUGCCCAGUCCUCGAGCUCUCCUUGGAGGUUCGAACGCCGCCACGGGACCUUCACCGGCCAGAUCCGGCGCCUCCCUCCAGGAUCCGCGCGCCCUCCACCUCCUCGACCCGAUCCGGCGCCGCCCAACCCGCCAUGACCUCCACCAUGGCUCCCGUCGAGAUCCUGUGCAUCCUCUCCGUCGACGCACCAUCGUCGCAUGAGGACUUGGAUGCCUGGCUCGCUGACAACCUCCCCCAAAUCCUACAGGAGGUUCAGCCAGGAUGUUCAUGGGAGCCUUCGGCCGGCUGAUUGGCCUCCCCAGCCCAUGUCCAUGGGUUGACUCCAUCCGCCUCUGCCCCGAUCACCGGCCUGGACCAGGAGCAUCUUCUAUGUUGCAAGCAAAGAUUAUGAAACACCUGAACCAUCUUGCACGCGAUGGGCGUUCCGCAGCGUGUUCAGAAUAAUACUUCGCAAGGGACAGCAGCUCGACGUCGAGCAGCAGCAGCAGGUUCUGCAACUUCGACGACCCCGAUGAGUCCGCGAUCAUGCUCAACUCCUACCAGAAGGGUGUGGAGGAGUUUCCCCUUGAACACCAUGACCUGAUUCUAAGGUCAUUGUUCUACUGGCACUCACUUCACCUGAACGGCUGGAUCAGAUGAUAGUGGAUAUACGCAGUGUAGUAUAUUGCUAUAAGAUACAAGCCUCCCUCUUCUGCCCUUCUUUUCUCCAUCCUCUGCUGGUCGCUAGCACAUGUGAAUCGUUCUCGUCAAGAGCAUGCUUGUGACAUCAUUACUGUAUGUGAUGCAGGGCAAAAGGAUGUUGUCAGAAGUGUGACAAGUCGUGUGAGAUGAAGGUGAUGAACCAUCUCAAUGUGAAGCCAAGUAUGCCAUGGAUUUGCCAUGGAUGAUGGAAGACUGGUAAAGAGAUGAUUCAAAAAUUGCUUGCCAAUAGGCAGCUGGAUGUCAAGGAGGCCGAAGCCCGUUGUGCCAAAACUAACACAUUAGAAUCUUUCAAUUUGCUGCUACCAUAUUUCAAAGUAAGAACACCGAUGAUGCAAAGGAAUCUUAUUAUGUAGCCAUAUGUAAUCUCAAUUUGUUGCUAUGUAUAAACUAUGAUAGGAGUAGGCAUGUAUAGAUGUGUAUCCAUUUUUGCUUUCUACUGAUCUAGGACAAAGGGGAUGUGCUGGACUAAGUGGCCGUUGCUAUUGAAGCAAAGGAGUGGAACUCGCAAUUUUUCAAUCAAUGGAGGUUUGAUUGGUGAAGCUACAUUCAGCAAAGAAGAUAUGUUUAUUUGUAGGGAAUUUUUGCAGGUACAAUCCAUCCAGCCAUACAUAAGACUGAUAUUCUCAUUCUUUAACAAUGUGUACAUGGCCUCUACUCUGCCGUGUGUUGAGAAAAGGCUCUGUCGUGCAUUGAGAAAAGGCCGGACAUAUAUUGUUGUUUGUAUAACCUUACUUUGUAAAAUAAUUUGUGGUAACAAACAUGUUAAAAAGGGUGCAAUUUUUUUUCUA